rnacentral:misc_RNA from 1 species
UGCCUGUUCGAGCGUCAUUUCAACCCUCAAGCUCUGCUUGGUAUUGGAUGUCACCACUUGUGGUGUGUCCCAAAAGCAUUGGCAGUGGCAUUUGGCUUCUAGUGUAGUAAUUUUCUCGCUCUGGAGCCUUAAAUGUCUACCUGCCAGAACUCUCUAUCAAGGUUGACCUCGGAUCAGGUAGGGAUACCCGCUGAACUUAA